UACGUAGGGGGCAAGCGUUAUCCGGAUUUACUGGGUGUAAAGGGAGCGUAGGCGGCGAUGCAAGUCAGAAGUGAAAGCCCGGGGCUCAACUCCGGGACUGCUUUUGAAACUGUGUUGCUAGAUUGCAGGAGAGGUAAGUGGAAUUCCUAGUGUAGCGGUGAAAUGCGUAGAUAUUAGGAGGAACACCAGUGGCGAAGGCGGCUUACUGGACUGUAAAUGACGCUGGGGCUCGAAAGCGUGGGGAGCAAACAGG
rnacentral:rRNA from 1 species